rnacentral:lncRNA from 1 species
CUGCAAAUGAAUAGAUCUUACUUUUAGUCUCUUUAGUCCAGGACACCUCACCUUCUAGCUGAGUGCUGACAAUUUGAACUUAAAAUCAGUUUUCUCUCUCUGUGCUCCAGGUAUGAAACACACAUCUGGUAACUUUCCUGUCGGUACCUGUCAGUACCAUGGCUACAACCAAAGGAAAAGAAGGACCUUUCAGAUGGGAAGGAAUGCCAAUUUGUCCCUGGUGGAGCCAGCAGUGUCUGCCAGCUCUCUGCUCAGCACAGGAAUAGCCAGAGGGCUGGGAUGGAUGCGUUGGUAAUGCAACACGUGGACUGUUUGUUUGGAGAACUCAAACGAAAGCAGGCAAUUUACAGGAUGAAUUUCCAUAUUAAUAAUACACUCAGUUCCUUGCUGAGAGGCAUAAACUCAUUCAGAGAUGACCCUUGCCUACUUGAAUAUCAAGGCUGCUGUCAAAUCUUGCUGGUCUUUUUCCUCUCCACUCUGGAAGGCUACAAGUCCAGAACCCAAAUGAGUUUGGAUAGUAAAGGUCAGAAAAAAAAUUAA